rnacentral:rRNA from 1 species
AGAGUUUGAUCCUGGCUCAGGAUAAACGCUGGCGGCGUGCAUUAUGCAUGCAAGUCGAACGGUUUUGAUUUAUCAAAACAGUGGCAAACGGGUGAGUAACACGUAAGUAACCUGCCCUUAAGUGGGGAAUAACUUCGGGAAACCGAGGCUAAUACCGCAUGUGAUGGUAGAGGUAAUGCUUUAUCAUCAAAGCCUUAGGGCGCUUGAGGAGGGGCUUGCGGCCGAUUAGCUAGUUGGUGAGGUAAUGGCCCACCAAGGUUACGAUCGGUAGCUGGUCUGAGAGGAUGGUCAGCCACACUGGGACUUAGACACGGCCCAGACUCCUACGGGAGGCAGCAGCAAGGAAUUUUGCGCAAUGGGCGAAAGCCUGACGCAGCAACGCCGCGUGGGGGAUGAAGGCCUUCGGGUCGUAAACCCCUUUUCUCAGGGAAGAAUAAAAUGACGGUACCUGAGGAAUAAGCAUCGGCUAACUACGUGCCAGCAGCCGCGGUAAUACGUAGGAUGCAAGCGUUAUUCGGAUUUACUGGGCGUAAAGAGGGCGUAGGCGGUCUUUCAAGUCGGAUGUGAAAUCUCUUGGCUCAACCGAGAGGGGUCAUCUGAUACUGUUGGACUAGAGGGCAGCAGGAGGAAGUGGAAUUCCCGGUGUAGUGGUGAUAUGCGUAGAUAUCGGGAGGAACACCAGUGGCGAAGGCGACUUUCUAGGCUGUUUCUGACGCUGAGGCCCGAAAGUGUGGGGAGCGAACAGGAUUAGAUACCCUGGUAGUCCACACCGUAAACGAUGGAUACUAGGUAUGGGGAGUAUCGACCCUCUCCGUGCCGAAGCUAACGCUUUAAGUAUCCCGCCUGGGGAGUACGGCCGCAAGGCUAAAACUCAAAGGAAUUGACGGGGGCCCGCACAAGCAGUGGAGCGUGUGGUUUAAUUCGAUGCAACACGAAGAACCUUACCAAGUCUUGACAUGUUGGAAGUAGCGAACCGAAAGGUUAGCCACCUGUUAAAUCAGGAGCCAUCACAGGUGCUGCAUGGCUGUCGUCAGCUCGUGCCGUGAGGUGUUCGGUUAAGUCCUGCAACGAGCGCAACCCUCAUUGCUAGUUGAUUUCUCUAGCGAGACUGCCCCGCAAAACGGGGAGGAAGGUGGGGAUGACGUCAUGUCAGCAUGGCCCUUAUGUCUUGGGCUACACACACGCUACAAUGGGUGGUACAGCAGGUUGCGGCAGAGUGAUCUGUAGCUAAUCCUUAAAACCAUCCUCAGUUCGGAUUGCAGGCUGAAAUUCGCCUGCAUGAAGCCGGAGUUGCUAGUAAACGCGUAUCAGCAUGGCGCGUUGAAUACGUUCUCGGGCCUUGUACACACCGCCCGUCACGUCAUGAAAGUUGGCAACACCUGAAGUCGAUGAGCUAACCCGGUUUACCGGGGAGCAGUCGCCGAAGGUGGGGCUGAUGAUUGGGACGAAGUCGUAACAAGGUA